UACGUAGGUGGCAAGCGUUGUCCGGAUUUAUUGGGUUUAAAGGGUGCGUAGGCGGCCCUGUAAGUCAGUGCUGAAAUACCCCGGCUUAACCGGGGGGGUGGCAUUGAUACUGCAGGGCUUGAGUACAGAUGAGGUAGGCGGAAUUGACGGUGUAGCGGUGAAAUGCAUAGAUAUCGUCAAGAACACCGAUAGCGAAGGCAGCUUACUGGGCUGUAACUGACGCUGAUGCACGAAAGUGUGGG
rnacentral:rRNA from 1 species